AUACGGAGGGUGCAAGCGUUAAUCGGAAUUACUGGGCGUAAAGAGUACGUAGGUGGUUUGUUAAGUCAGAUGUGAAAGCCCCGGGCUCAACCUGGGAACUGCAUUUGAAACUGGCAAACUAGAGUAUGGUAGAGGGGGGUAGAAUUUCUAGUAUAGCGGUGAAAUGCGUAGAUAUUAGAAGGAAUACCAGUGGCGAAGGCGGCCCCCUGGACCAAUACUGACACUGAGGUACGAAAGCGUGGGUAGCGAACAGGAUUAGAUACCCCAGUAGUCC
rnacentral:rRNA from 1 species